rnacentral:tRNA from 1 species
AGUACCGUAACUCACUGGCUAGAGUGCCCAACUGUCUCUUGGGAAGCAAUGGGUUCGAUUCCCAUCGGUACUG